AGCGAACGCUGGCGGCAGGCUUAACACAUGCAAGUCGAGCGGGCACUUCGGUGUCAGCGGCAGACGGGUGAGUAACACGUGGGAACGUACCCUUCGGUUCGGAAUAACGCUGGGAAACUAGCGCUAAUACCGGAUACGCCCUUUUGGGGAAAGGUUUACUGCCGAAGGAUCGGCCCGCGUCUGAUUAGCUAGUUGGUGGGGUAAUGGCCUAACAAGGCGACGAUCAGUAGAUGGUCUGAGAGGAUGAUCAGCCACACUGGGACGAGGACACGGCCCAGACUCCUACGGGAGGGAGCAGUGGGGAAUAUUGGACAGCGGGCGCAAGCAUGAUCCAGCCAUGACGCGUGAGUGAUGAAGGCCUUAGGGUUGUAAAGCUCUUUUGACCGGGACGAUAAUGACGGUACCGGAAGAAUAAGCCCCGGCUAACUUCGUG
rnacentral:rRNA from 1 species